CUUUUCUCUUGCAACAAAGUGGUCCUGUCCAUUUUGUCGUGUUUGUGGAAAUCGGGAAGGAUUGAAAGGAGCUAAGUGCAAACUCUCUAAAGAACUCGUGGAGCCAGAGGAGACGUGUGGACAGAAUAAUUUUCCAUUGAGAAUCUUGCAUGAGAGCCUGAUUCUCGACCCUUUGUUCCUUCUUUCCACUUUUGGACCAUGUGGUUGUAUCCCUGAGUGGCGGCCCUUGUGAACAAGUGGCCUCAGUUUACCCACAACACUUGCUGGGUGCUGCAUUCGAUUCUGCCUUUAACUUACGGGCCAGGUUUUACUUCUGGGCGCGGCAUGGACAGGGAGAACCUCGGCCUCGGGGGUGGUCGAUUGAGGGGCCCGGGGGCCUUCCGGGUCCCCUCAGAGCAUCGCUUCCCAAGCAGCCCGUGGGAAGGGUGCCCUGGGCUCCGCGGAGUGGUGGCGUGCGGCUCACUCUGCGGUUGGCUGUCAGGGUUGCCUGUCUGCCUCCCUCCAAUGUGGGACCCCACGUCAGGGGUCUCCUGGGAGAGCGUGUGACAUGGGCUUGGCCGUGGCCAGGGCGUCAUCUCUGUGGCCUGGCAGCCGCCCUGCCCACGUCUCACAGCCCCGUGGUCCAAGCUCAGGGAGGCAGGGGUCACACCUCUCCUGGAGACAAGCAGCUCCGUCUGGAUCUUGUACCCACUUGGAGUGGGGUUCAGCCAACCUGGGCAUCAGUCCCCCCCUCACUCUCCCCCCAGAACCCACGUGUGGAAUGCAGGGAGGCGGGUGUGCUGUCCUCGUUAAAUAUUCAAGAGCCAGGCCCAGCAUUUUCCAUUUUUAUGCCUUUAGGGAAGCUGUAUAUUUUUAAAGCCAGCACUUCACAAGUAGGUCAAACGCUAAUUCAGUGAGAAUUGGGGAAGGUCAAUAGAGGGAAGUGAUCAGUGCGAAAGCGGUCUGAAGUCCGGCAGGUUUACAAACACGGAAACCCGCGUGCCGCUCUGUAAGUGUAGCACACGCUUGUUAGCUAAAUCGAGGAAAGGACAGAAAGGGAGGAAGAAGAGACCCCUGCGUCUUGCCCCCGGCCUGUGUUCAGUCUCGGUCCAGUUCCCUUGCUUAUUCGUGUGGCCUCCCCACGUGUACGUCACCGGGGCCUCCUUCCGGUGCUGGUGCAGACUGUGCGGUGACGAAAUGACGUUCCUGCAGGAUCGUGCCGGCCCCUAGGCCUCAGUCACGCCCAGUUGCUAGUGUAGAUGCCACCGAGAUGUCCUCUCUGUGCUUAUGCAUGAGCCUGAGAUUCCGCAUUUGGGAGUUUUGUGUGUUUUCAGUAUUUCUGUGUUUUGUAUUUUUCUUUAUUUCCUCAUCACCAACACGAGCACAUGAGGUGCGGCGCCCCUGGCACUCGUGUCAGUCGCUGUCUAGUCAGCUCGCCCCACAGUGAUGCCUCAGGGUACCUGUCCACGGACCACCAUCGCCAACACUCCUCGCUCAGGUGCUGGGGACACGGCUUUUCCAGGGUCCUGCUCUGUGCGUCUAAGGAAGAGUCAGUCUGUGGGCGUCGGGGCUGCAGCCGAGAUAAGGCCCCGUGGAAUUUCCGGGUCUGGCGGAGGGCCUGGCUCUUGUACAGGUUGAAAUCUCCCUUCUGGCAGGUUGAGCGGUGAGUGGCCCCGAUUCUUAACGAUGCCAACUGGAUCCAAAUGAGUCCACAAGAAGCAACCCACCAGUGAGCCCUGACGUGACUCAUGGCGGAGGCCACGCAGGCAUUUCCGUCCUGGCCGCUCAUCAGUGGCAGGGCUUGACAGGCUGGCUUGUCACUGGCAGAGGAUGGCAUAGUCUGUGACGCAAGGCCACUUGCUCUUCAGGCUCUCAGGGUCCCCGGUGAACUGCAGGUCUGGACUCCCGUGGGUGGGCCUCGAGGCCGGCUGGGCCUGGGCUCUGGCAUCCCUCCCAGGAGGGAGUGUCGGGCCGUGUGAGGACAGCCGCCGGGACUGGUGAUGCCUGGGCCACUGGGAUGGACGGAGCUCCGAGAGUCACGCCGUGUGGAGAACACCGGCAGAAGCGAACUCUCAGUUCAGAGCAGGGAUGAAAAUCACAGCUGGGCGCCCCUUUGAUCGUCAGGAAGACCCCCUGACUGUACCAGCAUAAAGCAACAAGGGGCCGAGCACAGUGACCACCAGCCCCACACCUGUCCUGGAACAGCCACUCCCGUGGGGAGUCACGUCUCUUACGAGGAGCCACCCCCCCCACCAAACCACAGAGCCCGUCACAGAAGAAAGUGUGAGCCCCGGGCUUCGCCACCUGGACACAUGACGCACCUGCUAACUCACAGCUUUUCAAAAUGCCUGGCAGCUCACCCGGCCCAAGCACAACGCCAACGACAGGUUUAAAGGCCUUUAUAAUAAGCCUCUCCUUUAAGGGACACACGCCGCCUCCCUGUAACAUUAACGACUUAGUCACCUGGCUCUUGUCAGCUGCGGGCGGAAACCAUCGCGUGCUGUGUGGGGACAGAACGCUCUGGAGCCUGAGCAGAGCUGUGCCUGCUUUGGGGGCACAGUCGGAAGACACAACGGUUUCAGGUUCAAAAUACAGCAGCCUUCCUGAGUCAGAAAGAAGAACCAGUCAUCCUGAAAUCCACAUUCAAGUGAAGUACAGAAAGAACUCUGGAAUUUGGAAAGGGCAUUAAGAGAUGAUCACACACACACACACACGCGCGCGCGCGCUUUUCCAUCACAUGCUUUACGUGAAACAGCAG